CGGUAAUUCCAGCUCCAAUAGCGUAUAUUAAAGUUGUUGCGGUUAAAAAGCUCGUAGUUGGAUUUCUGCUGGGGACAACUGGUCUGCCUACUGGGUAAGUAUUUGUGUGUCUCAAGCAUGUUCUUGGACGACACUUCUGCACUUGACUGUGUGGUGUGAUCUCCAAGGUUGUUACUUUGAGGAAAUCAGAGUGCUUCCAGCAGGCAAAUGUUUUGAAUACAUUAGCAUGGAAUAAUAAGAUGAGACUUCGGUUUUAUUUUGUUGGUUUUUAAAAGUGAAGUAAUGAUUGACAGGGAUAGUUAGGGGCAUUUGUAUUCAACUGUCAGAGGUGAAAUUCUUGGAUUUGUUAAAGACAAACAACUGCGAAAGCAUUUGCCAAGGAUGUUUUUUUUGAUCAAGAACGAAAGUUAGGGGAUCGAAGACGAUCAGAUACCGUCCUAGUCUUAACUAUAAACUAUGCCAACCAGAGAUUGGAGGUUGUUAUGUGUACGACUCCUUCAGCACCUUAUGAGAAAUCAAAGUCUUUGGGUUCCGGGGGGAGUAUGGUCGCAAGGCUGAAACUUAAAGGAAUUGACGGAAGGGCACCACCAGGAGUGGAGCCUGCGGCUUAAUUUGACUCAACACGGGGAAACUUACCAGGUCCAGACAUAGUAAGGAUUGACAGAUUGAUAGCACUUUCUUGAUUCUAUGGGUGGUGGUGCAUGGCCGUUCUUAGUUGGUGGAGUGAUUUGUCUGGUUAAUUCCGUUAGCGAACGAGACCUUAACUUGCUAAAUAGUUACAUGUAACUCUGGUUAUGUGGGCAACUUCUUAGAGGGACUUUGUGUGUCUAACACAAGGAAGUUUGAGGCAAUAACAGGUCUGUGAUGCCCUUAGAUGUUCUGGGCUGCACGCGCGCUACACUGAUGUACUCAACAAGCAUUUACUUUGCUUGGAAAGGCAGGGCAAUCUUUAAACAUGCGUCGUGAUGGGGAUUGAUUAUUGCAAUUAUUAAUCUUGAACGAGGAAUUCCUAGUAAACUCGAGUCAUCAGCUCGUGUUGAUUACGUCCCUGCCCUUUGUACACACCGCCC
rnacentral:rRNA from 1 species